UACGGGGGGGGCAAGCGUUGUUCGGAAUUACUGGGCGUAAAGGGUUCGUAGGUGGCCAACUAAGUCAGACGUGAAAUCCCUCAGCUUAACUGGGGAACUGCGUCUGAUACUGGUUGGCUUGAGUGCAGGAGGGGAACGCGGAAUUCCAGGUGUAGCGGUGAAAUGCGUAGAUAUCUGGAGGAACACCGGUGGCGAAGGCGGCGUUCUGGACUGCAACUGACACUGAGGAACGAAAGCCAGGGGAGCAAACGGG
rnacentral:rRNA from 1 species